AUAAAUACUGAUGUCUUUUCAACGUUGUAGAGCCUAGGUUGGUGACCUCCAUUGCACAUAUCGGAGGGGUGCCCGCCUAAGGUCUGUCUAAAUGUUGCAGAGCUAUGUCAUAAUUUGUGGCAGUGGGGGUCUGCGUUUGUUGAUGCCUUUU
rnacentral:snRNA from 10 species